rnacentral:rRNA from 1 species
GACGAACGCUGGCGGCGUGCUUAACACAUGCAAGUCGAACGGUGAAGCUCCAGCUUGCUGGAGUGGAUCAGUGGCGAACGGGUGAGUAACACGUGAGCAACCUGCCCCAGACUCUGGAAUAAGCGCUGGAAACGGCGUCUAAUACUGGAUACGAGAUCAAGCCGCAUGGUUAUGGUCUGGAAAGUUUUUCGGUUUGGGAUGGGCUCGCGGCCUAUCAGCUUGUUGGUGAGGUAAUGGCUAACCAAGGCGACGGCGGGUAGCCGGCCUGAGAGGGCGACCGGCCCCACUGGGACUGAGACACGGCCCAGACUCCUACGGGAGGCAGCAGUGGGGAAUAUUGCACAAUGGGCGAAAGCCUGAUGCAGCGACGCCGCGUGAGGGAUGACGGCCUUCGGGUUGUAAACCUCUUUCAGCAGGGAAGAAGCGAAAGUGACGGUACCUGCAGAAGAAGCACCGGCUAACUACGUG